rnacentral:rRNA from 1 species
GACGAACGCUGGCGGCGUGCCUAAUACAUGCAAGUUGAGCGCUGAAGGUUGGUACUUGUACCAACUGGAUGAGCAGCGAACGGGUGAGUAACGCGUGGGGAAUCUGCUUUUGAGCGGGGGACAACAUUUGGAAACGAAUGCUAAUACCGCAUAAAAACUUUAAACACAAGUUUUAAGUUUGAAAGAUGCAAUUGCAUCACUCAAAGAUGAUCCCGCGUUGUAUUAGCUAGUUGGUGAGGUAAAGGCUCACCAAGGCGAUGAUACAUAGCCGACCUGAGAGGGUGAUCGGCCACAUUUGGACUGAGAAACGGCCCAAACUCCUACGGGAGGCAGCAGUAGGGGAUCUUCGGCAAUGGACGAAAGUCUGACCGAGCAACGCCGCGUGAGGGAAGAAGGUUUUCGGAUCGUAAAACUCUGUUGAUAGGGAAGAACGUUGGUGAGAGUGGAAAGCUCAUCAAGUGACGGUAACUACCCAGAAAGGGACGGCUAACUACGUG